CCCUUAGAUGUUCUGGGCCGCACGCGCGCUACACUGAAGGAAUCAGCGUGGCUUUCUCCCUGACCCGAAAGGGUUGGGAAACCCGUUGAAUCUCCUUCGUGAUGGGGAUUGGGGCUUGAAAUUGUUCCCCAUGAACGAGGAAUUCCCAGUAAGCGCGAGUCAUAAGCUCGCGUUGAUUACGUCCCUGCCCUUUGUACACACCGCCCGUCGCUACUACCGAUUGAACGGUUUAGUGAGGGCCUCGGAUUGGUCUCGGCCCGCUCUUUACCGGGCGGCGCCGUUGGUCGAGAAGACGCUCGAACUUGAUCGUUUAGAGGAAGUAAAAGUCGUAACA
rnacentral:rRNA from 1 species